CGCUAUCAUCCUACGGGAGGCAGCAGUGGGGGAAUAUUGCACAAUGGGCGCAAGCCUGAUGCAGCCAUGCCGCGUGUAUGAAGAAGGCCUUCGGGUUGUAAAGUACUUUCAGCAGUGAGGAAGGCCGGGUGUGUUAAUAGCGCAUUCGUUUGACGUUAGCUGCAGAAGAAGCACCGGCUAACUCCGUGCCAGCAGCCGCGGUAAUACGGAGGGUGCGAGCGUUAAUCGGAAUUACUGGGCGUAAAGCGCAUGCAGGCGGCCUGUUAAGUCAGAUGUGAAAGCCCGGGGCUUAACCUCGGAAUUGCAUUUGAAACUGGCAGGCUAGAGUCUUGUAGAGGGGGUAGAAUUUCAGGUGUAGCGGUGAAAAUGCGUAGAGAUCUGAAGGAAUACCAGUGGCGAAGGCGGCCCCCUGGACAAAGACUGACGCUCAGAUGCGAAAGCGUGGGGAGCAAACAGGAUUAGAUACCCUGGUAG
rnacentral:rRNA from 1 species